rnacentral:rRNA from 1 species
UACGUAGGGUGCAAGCGUUAAUCGGAAUUACUGGGCGUAAAGCGUGCGCAGGCGGUUUGUUAAGUUAGAUGUGGAAUCCCCGGGCUUAACCUGGGAACUGCAUUUAAGACUGGCAGGCUAGAGUCUUGUAGAGGGGGGUAGAAUUCCAUGUGUAGCGGUGAAAUGCGUAGAGAUGUGGAGGAAUACCGGUGGCGAAGGCGGCCCCCUGGACAAAGACUGACGCUCAGGUGCGAAAGCGUGGGGAGCAAAC